GAAACAACACCGUGAAAUUGCCAACGUUUUUGGUUCACGGAAGAACAGUAAAAAAUGAAUAGUUAGCUUUAGGUUUGUGACACAGGAGUUUCAUCUAACUAAAGUUGCCAAGUUGCUGCAGUUGAUACUUUAAAGGAAAUGGUUGUAGAAAUUGUUAUAACUGAGAAGAAUUGUACCAAGUGAAAAUUCUGAUUUUGCGAUAACUAAUUAAUUGGUGUAGUGUUUACAUUAGAAUAUAUACGGUUUACUUUUGAGUCUGUUCGUUGUUCGUUGUUCGUAGUUCGUUGUUCAUAGUUCG